GGACAGAUGGCCGAGCGGUCUAAGGCGCUACGUUCAGGUGUAACCCCCCAGUUCCUUCCGAAUUCGUAGUCUCGCAAGAGGCGUGGGUUCGAAUCCCACUCUGUUCA